AGACAUGAAAGAAUGUUGAAGUUUGGUUUUUUGUGGAUACUCUGCAUAUAGACAUUCUAGACUGGAGUGAUACAUCUUGUUCAGGGUUUUGUGCAUCUCUAAGAUGAUCAUCUUGGUGUGGGGUCCUGAUCUUCCCAGUGACUUAGCAGCACAGUAAUUUGGCUGAAAUGUUGAUGAGUUCAGACAAGAAGAAGGUGAUGAUGACAAGAGAGCGUCACGGGGAAAUUCUGCCCUGAGGAAGGAAUAGUUUGAGGCUGGAGAGAUAUGCUACCCCCGCCACUCUUUCUCAAAUGGAAAGACAACCUGUAGGCACAGAAAUCAUUGCUCUGCUUACACUGAAAUCUCCUGCUGACUUUGAGAGCUGAGCACUGGAUUUUGAUGGGAGAGUGAAACUUAGUGAAGGAAUGAUUUGAACCUUUGUUGAUCUAAUACUUCUGUGAUACAGUUAUCUAAACAGAAUGAGUCUAAAGUCAGUAUAAAGACCUGUGUCUCUCCAUGUUUUGCUACUUAUAAUUGCAGAGGAACAUUUUGAGAUAGAAAAUUUUAUCCCCCUUUCAAGUGACUUUUUAUAAAACAUAACCUUUUAAGAGAGGUCAUUCUUUUGAAAAAUUGUCUGAAUACAAGAGAAGUAACUGAACAGCAAGGGAUUGUAGCCAUAAUGUUCUUGACCACUUUAGAUUGACAAAUAGUGUCUCAAAAUUGAUCAGGUUCUGGAGAAUCUAUUGAGGUUGUAUGGAGUAACCAAGUGAUGGAAGAGGUUGGAAGUGAAUAAUUUUAUGUGGUAUUAUGUGAUUUUUUUUGGUGGGGGUAGUGUCUGGAGCUGAGCAUGAUGGGGCCUAGAUGGGGCAGCCUUCUAAUGCUCCCAGUAUUUCGCAAAUCAUAUGUCACGUCAAAAUUGUAAUGACAAAGCUCACAGCAGCUGCCUACGCCAGGUUUGGUGCCAGCUCUAAUUAGAGCAUCGAUCAUUUCUCUCCCCUUCAUGAAUGCACGUGCGUGCACAUUUUCAUAUACAAGGGCAAAGGACAUUUCAAAGUUUGGAUGGAAUCUUUCCUACUUAGAAGUAAUAAAAAACAAUACUUUGAAAUCUUACCAAAUAUUAAACAAAUAGCAACAAUUUUUCCAUUUAAAGAUGUGUGUCUUCAGGUCUGUUGGAUCUUUCAAAUUUCUAUUUUGGACAUGGAAACUACAGAUGAAAUUUAACUUACUCAAAGUUACACAGAACUCCUGGCUGAUCUCUUUUACUUAAUUCUUCUAAAAUCUAAAGUAAGAAUAAUUUUGAAAUGUUAUUGGUAAUGCUUAAAUAACAAAAGUUACUUUAAUAUGUUACAUGUUGGAAGUUUCAUUUAUACUUAAUAUCUAAUUUAACUCUUGUGAAUAUAUUAUUCAGUUUUUUUUUUUGUUUUCUAAAAUGACUUGUUCAGGGCUCCUUUUGGGAUUUUUAAGUGAGAAAAACUCUAUUUCAUAAUAUUGUUACCACGCUCAUCCAAUAACACUUCAUAGAUGGUUAGCCAUCUCUAAAAUUAAAUUUUGUAGUUGAGAAGCAUUGAAAAUACCACCUAUAUUUGGAUUUCUGUUUAACACUUCAAAAUGCAUUUUAUCAUAAUUUAAAAUUUGAUUUAAAUACAAACCUCUUUAUAG